AUCACACACCAGCAGAGACUCACAGCAACACGUUACACACGGGGAGCUACGAACAGCGAAAUACUUUUCCUGCGACAGCACACAGACAGCAACAAGAGUUGAACAGUUUCAACAGUUUCUUGUGUUGGAUCUUUAACCAACGUUGUGCACAUCUAGUUUACUAGCCCGCAGUUUCAUGUACACGAAUUACACCGGUCUUCACCGGCUGGAUGAGGACAAUAUAGUCCCGCUUCAUCACAGGAAAUGAAUAUAGAGGAACAUUUUUAAACCAACAUUUAAAGCAAACUGACUUUCUAUAAACCUUCUUGAAUAUAAAAACCUGGAAAACUAAGAAUCUUUAGACAUGGUUGGUUUGAGACAAAACAUUUUUUUAUAAUGUGCAUGUUUGAUAUGGGCUUCAUGGUAUCAUAAAAGGGUGGGGCAUCCAAGAACUAGAAAUUAAAAUAGAUCUAAUAAAAUAGAUCUUAUCGAUCAGUUGGCUCCUGAACAAGUUUGGUAUCACUUGUAUGGAUAUGUAGUGGAGUAAAUUUCUCUUAGUUGCUAUUGAGUAUGGGAGACUACAGAUGUACAAAUGCAAGAUAAUUGCUUGGAUUAUCUGCAGCAAGAGGGGUUUGCACAGCUGUGAGCAUAUUUACAUUUCAAGCCUACAAAGUCAGGCAUAGUGAUUAAUUGUGAUUAAUCAGCCAGUGCCAGAUUCUGCUAUGGGCCACACAGGCAACCGCCCAGGGCAGCAUCUUGUGGGGGUGACAAGACCGACCUCUCACCCCUCUCACCACCCCAGAUACUCCAAUUGUCUGUGUCUCACUGUAACUUCCAUCCUUCUGUCCAUAGACUAAUGGAUAAAGACAUAGUGAGAUAUUGCCAUCUUACUGUAUCUGCCAACCUUAUGUCUACACAUAGAAGCACAGAAGUUACAGAAGGUGUCUCUGUCUGCAAACAUAGUGUAUGGAUAGAGACAGAGGAAUGUAUCUGUCUAUGGAAAUGCCUCUGUGUACCAUAGUAUUAAAUUAAAAUUAUAACUAGUAUCAAUGAACAUUGUUAUUUUUCAGGAAACAGCAUCAAGGGCACAAACGGGUCCAGCAGCUCCUUUUGCCACCUAGAGUGUUGUUUCAUAGGUGAUUCAUAGGCCUCAACCCAGAAAAUGGAACAAAAGCUGCAAACGGAAAAGUGACAUCAACCAACAAGACGACUUAUGUAGAACACAGCAGUGAACCUGCAUGUCUCCAUUCUCCUCCUUCAUGAACCAUGUAAUUUUACCAUUUUAAAAUGGUAAAAUUACACAUUUACACUCCAUCUCUCUCCCUGUCUGUCUUUUUCUCUGUCUGUCUCUCUGUAUCUGUUCUGUCCAUUUCUAAUAGACAGACAGGAGGACAGAACAAUGAAGGAAGGUCAGAGAGAGUCUUUCCUUUUCAUCCUGUCUGUCUUUAACUGAUAUGAAUGUAGUUUGGAAACUUUGACAUUUGGGUACUUUUGUUUUAGUAAAGAUUAUUUAAUUAAUUGUACUCAAUGUCAUAUUAUCAUGAUUGUAAAUGUAUCAGUUAUGUUUUUAGAUCUGACUAUUUUUCACUUUGGUUGCAAUACUUUGACUUUUGUGUAACAAGCAAAUAUUGCUGCUGCAAAAUACUGUAUUUUGUUUUGCUUCAGUUUGUCAGAUUUAAAUUGACAAUAAAAUCAAGUGAUUUUAAAAUAUACAUAUAUGUUUUUUUAAUUAGAAAAAUAUAUAUUUUUUGUGAGUUUGGUCAAUUAAGUUGCAAGUUCACAUUUAAACUUUUAAAAGCUAGCAAAGUAUGCAGUUUCAUGAACUACUGAAAAAUGACAACUUUUUGUAAUUGUGACUAGUUUAAAUGCUGUUCAAAUGGGUUGUCAUAUGGCAAGAGUUUAUACCUUUUGUAGUAAAGCGUCUGCACUGCAGAUGUAAAAGAAAAUGGAUAACAAUUUUGAAAAUACAGUUCUGCUGUACCUGUUCUAAUUGUUGAGUGUUCUUUCUACCCUUUCACCCAGUCCCAUCUUAAAACACUUCAUGUGAUGUAACUUAAAAACAUGUCUUUGAAUUAACGUAAUUAAAUCAUGGAAAGGAUUUCAACAUGA